UUUCCUCUUCUAUGUUUUCAUUUUUAAAUAACAUGCAAUUAAUGCUUAUGAAAUAUGUUGACAAUAAAUACAAUGCAUUAUAAUGAAAUUUUGCCUGACUUCACAGAAUAAAAUCUUGAACAGUGGCAAAUUUUUAUUCAUGUAUUCCUAUAUUCCUGUCCAUAUCUAACUCCUAAAUCCAAAUUUUAUUUAUUCAUGUAUGCCAAAUUAUAGGCUACUUGUAGAAAAAUACUUGAAUUUUAUGGUUUACUUUUACAGUCCUUGGUUGGUUAUCUUUCACAUAGUAGAUAGUUGAUAAAUAUUUUUCUCAACUAAAUUCGGAUUUGAAAAAAAAUUUACAAAUUCCCAGAACCAUCUUGUUCUUGAAUUGAUUUACACUAAAAUAAAUUUUCCUAUGUUGUGAACUGAUUUGUGUUGUUCAAGUAUUUCAUACAGAUAUUAAUUCAAGCUAUAGGUCUGUAUUGCCUUUAGUAUGUAUAAUUGGUGUCUGUUCUAUUUACUUUUAUGGGCAGAGAUUACCUGUUUAUUAUAGCAGGUUGCAAGAUCUAUGAUGAAGUCUACUUUUUUGGCUCAAGCUCAUAUAUGAUUGUCCAGUGCUUACCUACCACAGGACCUAGAAGGGGGAAAUAUCCAUUUUCAUCAACAGAAAAGAAAACUAAGUGAUAGUAAGAGACAGCAAUAAAUCCAUAGAGGAUGACA
rnacentral:lncRNA from 12 species